rnacentral:lncRNA from 1 species
UUGGUUGGCUAGAGAAAGAGGAUUGAAGGGUUAACUUAAGAAGCCAGCUAGAAUCUUCAAGGAGGUUCCUUAAAAGAAUACCCAGAAGCCCUAGGGGGUCUGUUAGAAAUAACAGAUACCCUUUGAGUUCUGAUACUCAAAGGGUGGAUGUCUGGACCUUUCCCCUGGGAAACCCUGGAAGAGCUGGUAACAAUUGGUUUUGGAAGACUCUUGGAUAUUCAGGAAAAUUUGUAGAGGAGACCAUCAAUGAGGACUAACUGGCUGAGUUUUCUCUGUGUCACUACAGAGGGAGAAGUAGGCCCACAGCAGGACCUGGAGAGAGCUAGCUGCUGGGAACCUGACAGUGACUGGAUAGAAACAAAGUACAAAGUCCAAUCUCCUUGGCAGGAAAAAAAGAAACAAAACAAAACAAAAAAAAAACAAAAAAACAGAAGCAAAGCAAAAGAUGAAAAAGAACAUUUCUUUGGGAAUAAAAAGGACUCUCUACCUAUGACUCCAUCGGUGUGUAGAAUUCCUGAUAUCUCAACCCUCUCCACAAAUGAAGAUCAACAGCUCUUUAGUGGGUUAGAGUUGCCUGCAGCCCUUGUCCACUUUUAUACAGCCUAUUAUGUAUCAGAGGAACAUUCCUUGGCCUAUCCUCUAUCCACUAGGUCAUGCACUAUUUAAGAAAAGAAAAAAAUGAGCAUUCAUGGUAAAAUAAAAUUCAAGGGUUUGUGAUUACUCCUGUCUUU